GAGAGCCGUAACACAGGUGCUGCAUGGCUGUCGUCAGCUCGUGUCGUGAGAUGUUCGGGUUAAGUCCCGCAACGAGCGCAACCCUUGUCAUUAGUUGCUACAUUCAGUUGGGCACUCUAAUGAGACUGCCGGUGACAAGCCGGAGGAAGUGGGGAUGACGUCAAGUCCUCAUGGCCCUUAUAGGUGGGGCUACACACGUCAUACAAUGGCUGGUACAAAGGGUUGCCAACCCGCGAGGGGGAGCCAAUCCCAUAAAGCCAGUCGUAGUCCGGAUCGUAGUCUGCAACUCGACUACGUGAAGUCGGAAUCGCUAGUAAUCGUGGAUCAGAAUGUCACGGUGAAUACGUUCCCGGGUCUU
rnacentral:rRNA from 1 species